CAGGAAGUGAUGUAUGUGAGAAGUUUGCUUUUUAAAGUGUACGUGGGAUCGUUAUUACGUCGAAAUAGCUCGAGCUGUAACCUAGGAGUCUCGCUCUGUUGCCCAGGCUUGAGUGCAGUGGCACGAUCGAUCUUGGCUCACUGCAACCUCCACCUCCCGAGUUCAAGCGAUUCUCCUGCCUCACCCUCCUGAGUAGCUGGGACUACAGGCCUGCGCCACCACACCUGGCUAACUUCUGAAUAUCAAGCUGAAAUUACUAUCAGAUAUCUUGCCACCACAUAGAGGCUUUGAGUGAAGUCUGCAUGGAGGAGAACAGAGCUGAGAGAUGGAAAGAUACUGAAUCCCAGUGACGUCCUUUGAGAUGUCGGAUCAAGCUGAGCUGGGCGUGAAGAUAGAGCUACUCCUAUACUUUUAAGAUACCAAUAACAAGCAAGAUUCAGAAGUCCAACAAGUAAGACAUUGAUUUCAUUAAGAGAGAACUAGUAAGCAAGCUAUUUGGGAAGUACACUCUCAUAAGAAUAUUGUUUCAUGAAGUCUUGAGCAACAUAGGAAAUAGUCCAUGAAGUGCACUGCUGUCAGACUCCCUCUAAGAAUACUUCAACUGCUCAUGAAGGGGGGGGCCUUAACUAUUUACUUCUUUUGGAAGCCUCCAUCUGGCCCA
rnacentral:lncRNA from 1 species